rnacentral:rRNA from 1 species
UCGGGAAUUUUGGGCAAUGGGCGAAAGCCUGACCCAGCAACGCCGCGUGAAGGAUGAAAUCCCUCGGGAUGUAAACUUCGCAAGAGUAGGAAGAAUAAGAAGGGGUCAAUACCCCCUUUGAUGACGGUACUAUUUGUAAGCUCCGGCUAACUCCGUGCCAGCAGCCGCGGUAAUACGGGGGGAGCAAGCGUUGUUCGGAUUUACUGGGCGUAAAGGGCGCGUAGGCGGCCACAACAAGUCACUUGUGAAAUCUCCGGGCUUAACCCGGUAGCGGCCAAGUGAUACUGUUGGGCUAGAGUGCGGAAGGGGCAACUGGAAUUCUCGGUGUAGCGGUGAAAUGCGUAGAUAUCGAGAGGAACACCUGCGGCGAAGGCGGGUUGCUGGGCCGACACUGACGCUGAGGCGCGAAAGCUAGGGGAGCGAACGG